AGUCUCUGAAAGUCACUGCAGAAGUCUGUGACGCUUCCUCCUCUUCUUCGUCUUCUUCUUCUUCUCAGUGAUGUUGAUAAAGCGGAGAUGACAGAGAGAAAAUGAUAAUAAGUUGAAGGAAAGGUGGCAGUGAAAAAUAAUCAAUAGGUUAAUCUCCAUGUGCCGAAACCGUUAAAUGAAGAAGCAUUAGAAGGCCCAGAUAGCUUAGUUUAGCACGAGUACCCUUUUGUUCAAAGACUGCUAGAGGGAGGACGGACACCGUCAACAGAUGAAAUAUAGCUGAAAAUAGCUGAUUAAACGAAGGAUUCAAUUAAUUGAAAUUCGUCUAGUCUCCGAUACAAGUUUAAAAGGACGACAUUUGAUGAAAUGGGUGAUCCCGGUGGUACAUAUGAGCGCGGAUCUGUGCCUGGAAAUAUGUUAAUAAUAAGACAUACUACAGCUCAUACAUCUCAAACAAAUCCUCGAGGUAC